AGUGUCGUGUCUCAUGGGCACAUAAUUUUUUUCAUUUAUUUAUUCAACAAAUAAUUAUUGAAUGCUUGUUAUUAGUGGAUAUGCUUCUCAAUAAUAAGAAACAGUGAAAAACCAGACAUCUCUGCCUUAUAUUCCAGAGAGGAGAGACAGGCAAUAAACAAGAAAUAUAACUAAGUUCAUUAUAUAACAUGUCAUAAAAUGACAAGUGUUAUUUUUAAAAAGGCACAGCCAGGGAGAUCAAGAGUACCAUAAGAUUGGGAGUUAGAUUUUGCCAUUUUAAAUGCUGUGAUCAGGAUAGACGUCAUUGAGAAGCUGACAGAUGAGCAAAGGUUUAAGGUAGCGAGGAAGUUAGCUAUCAGAACAUCUGCAGAAGAACAAUACAGGAGAAGAUGAUAAACAGUGUGAAGGCUUCAAGUCAAAUAGAAAGAUUCUCAACUGCCAAAGAAAAGCAAGGAGCUCGGUAUGACUGAGGUAGUGAAGGUAGAAGAUUCAUGAGGGGAUCCCGGGGUUUGUAUGUCCAGGGAAAUACUUGAAGGAUGGAAAUAUGGUCUGUAAUCUCCUGAUUUUUCCAGCCUGUUCUCUGCCAGCCCAAGUAUUCACAAGGAGAGAAAACGUACAGGAUUAAUCAGCAUAUUAACAUGCUCUUGUCAAUGUUGUAUUCCCCCUGAGAGUUCCAUAAGAAUAAAGCAGAAAUCACGGAAAGAAAUGUCAAAGUAGGGCUGUCUUACUUCAUCUCGGUAACAAAUAUCCGGCAAAACUCUUUAUCUUAAAAUUGCAGCGUGGGAGAGUCAUCCCGGGAAUAUAUAUUAGUGAGUUUAUUGAAAUUAAAAAUAAUGCAACAUGUUUUCCUGUAAGAAAUAAGUCCAGUUUGAAUGCUUAUUUUGACAAUAAGGACUGGCUUUGCAAGUCAGGUUACUGGUGGAGACUUUCGUUAAAUGAAAUGAACUAAAUGUGCAGGUUAUGGCUCUGAUCAGAUAAAAGCCUUUUAUGAGGCUUUAUAUUGACAAAGUAUAUUAAAAUAAAUGAUAUUUCAAAAUUUCCAAACUUUCUGAGUAUAUUUGGUAAAAGCUGUGUUUUUAAGUAAGAAAGUAAUGAUUGGUGGCCAUUUAUAAGUCCUUUUAAGCCUUUAUUGAAUACUUUCUAGGAACCGAGAAUAAGAAUGAUCAUAAUGGCUGAUUUCCAAAUCCUGUUGCAAUUGACCUGGUUUAGCACUUUGCUUUCAAUAAAGUUACAGAGGAUUUAUCAGCUGAUAGAUAACUGAAAGUAAUUUUUAAUGAUUAUAAUGUGACCUUUGGCUUAUAACAUGGAAGCCUAAAUAUUUAGAUAAUAUUGUUAUAAUAGAAUGUCCCAUAUUUCUAUUUCUCUCUUUACGUGAACAGGUUUUCUUAGUGCUUACAUCUAUACAAUAGAAAACAGAAUAGCAAUAUUCUAGAAUUGAAAUAGAGCAGAGUAGAAAAAAUAGAGAAUAGAUGAAACCUGUUUUAAUCCAGCAAUAAGCAAUAUUCAUCCAAGAAUACACAAUCUUAUUUGAGGGAGCCAGCUGGAAUACAUGAUUUAUUUCACUAAAAAAUUAUUUUUGAACAAAAUGUUCUCAUUUUUAGUAUCUAUUAAGGUUGUAGUCGAUAUAUAUAUAUAAUUUUAUA